rnacentral:rRNA from 1 species
GACGAACGCUGGCGGCGUGCUUAACACAUGCAAGUCGAACGGAAAGGCCCCUUUGGGGGUACUCGAGUGGCGCACGGGUGAGUAACACGUGAGUAACCUUCCCUUGACUUCGGGAUAACUUCAGGAAACUGGGGCUAAUACCGGAUAGGAAUCCUUGCUGCAUGGUGGGGGUUGGAAAGCUUCGGCGGUUUUGGAUGGACUCGCGGCUUAUCAGCUUGUUGGUGGGGUAGUGGCUUACCAAGGCUUUGACGGGUAGCCGGCCUGAGAGGGCGACCGGCCACAUUGGGACUGAGAGACGGCCCAGACUCCUACGGGAGGCAGCAGUGGGGAAUAUUGCACAAUGGGCGGAAGCCUGGUGCAGCAACGCCGCGUGCGGGAUGACGGCCUUCGGGUUGGAAACCGCGUUCAGCAGGGGCGAAGCUUGUGGUGACGGUACCUGCAGAAGAAGCACCGGCUAACUACGUG